UAUGGUCGUAUCACGUUGAAAUACCGGUUCGCGUACGAUCACCGAAGUUAAGCAAUAUCGAGCUUGGUCAGUACCUAGAUUUUUGACCUCAACGGAAUACCAGGUGCUGUAA